rnacentral:rRNA from 1 species
AAUCAACGCUGGCGGCGUGCCUAACACAUGCAAGUCGAGCGCGAAAGGGGGCAACCCGAGUAGAGCGGCGAACGGGUGAGUAACGCGUGGUGAUUUGCCUCCGAGUGGGGAACAAACACCGGGAAACGUAGGUGCUAAUACCGCAUGACAUCCUCGGGUCGUACUGAGGAUCGAAAGACUGGGGACCGCAAGGCCUAGCGCUUGG